UGGGGAAUUUUUCGCAAUGGGCGAAAGCCUGACGAAGCAACGCCGCGUGGUGGAUGAAGGCCCUAGCGGUCGUGAACUCCUGUCUAGCGGGAUGAAAGUCUUGCCAGAAAAUAUUUGGCGAGAUUGACUGUACCGCUGGAGGAAGCUCCGGCCAACUCCGUGCCAGCAGCCGCGGUAAUACGGAGGGAGCAAGCGUUACUCGGAAUUAUUGGGCGUAAAGGGCGCGUAGGCGAUUAAGCAAGUCAACUGUGAAAGCCCCGAGCUUAACUCGGGAAGUGCAGUCGAUACUGCUUGAUUUGAGUUCCGGAGAGGAAGGCAGAAUUCCCGGUGUAGCGGUGAAAUGCGUAGAUAUCGGGAGGAAUACCAGUGGCGAAGGCGGCCUUCUGGACGGAUACUGACGCUGAGGCGCGAAAGCUAGGGGAGCAAACGGGAUUAGAUACCCCGGUAGUCCUAGCCGUAAACGAUGUGCACUUGGUGUGAGCCCAUCUUGGGUUCGUGUCC
rnacentral:rRNA from 1 species